rnacentral:lncRNA from 1 species
GAUUCCAACCACAUCUUCCAUUCUAGUGCAGAACUUACAUUCGUUGUAAAUGGCACGUUUUCUACCGACAUCACAGGUUUGGCCACAAUUGCUGGUGCGUGUACAGACCAAAGAUUUGGCGUGGGAGAAGACAAACCUCACACGUACCUCGGACUCAUGACAAUGGCGCACGAAUUCGGGCAUUUGCUAGGGGCCUACCAUGAUGGCUCUUCAGAAGCACAGUGUUGUCCUGCGGCUUUCGGGAACCUAAUGAGUACCCUGGACAAAGGAAUGCUUAACAGAUCCAAACUGUCACCCUGCAGUCAGGCAGCAAUACGAGCUUUUGUAAGCAAUUUAUCAGCCACAUGCAUAGGUGUCAGCAUAGCAGGAAAUUACACGAAUGUGCUAUAUCCAGG